AAACAAUUUGGAAAACAUCCUACAAAAUGAGUCUCUUCCAAAAUAUAUUAAUCUCAUUUGUUUUCACUAUUUUCUUCAUGACUUCAAAUGUUCACUGCGUCAAUAAUGUUCCGGAUUUUGGAGUAGAACAAAAAUUUACGAAAUGCUAUGGUCCUUGUAACCAAGGAGCUGCAGGAGCUGCAGAAUGUGACGGGUUUUGUAGAGCCAAAAAUAUUCAGUCAAAGGGAACUUGUAGUUCUGGCUUUUGUUGUUGUGUGUGGCAAAUAAAAAAUUAGAAUAAUUUUAUUAGAUAUUAGAUUUUUAAUAAAAUGAAAAUAAUAUUACCAAUUAAUACAUAACCAUGUUAUGAAACUACA